UCAGCACCAAGAGAACACGCUCACCCAGACUUGGAGGGAGAGUUUUGAAGCCAGAUUUCAUAGAAUCUGCCAGAAGUUUUCGGAGAAAAUCAUGAGCAGACCCCCUGCCUUUACUCCGCAAGCUCAACUAACCACUCGAGCUGCAAUGUCGAAACUCCGACCCUGCGUCAGACCGGAGACCCACACGGAAGAAGCCCCUCCUUGCUGCUCAAGCUCCCGACGGGUUUCCGACCUCAGGC